GAAAUUAGAAAUGAAAUCUGAAUGAAAUUUUUAAUUAACAAUGAAUUUGUCCUGUAAAAUAAUUAUAAGUAAAAUACUUUCAAGUAAUUUUGAAGUAACUCGGAAAAAUAUUUUAACAAACUGCAAAAAUAUACUGAUAGAGUUAAUGGAAACUGUAACAAAGGCUAAAUAAGAAACAGAUACAUAUUAUCGAAGACCCUGAGAAUAUAAAAACUAAAAGAAAUUUAUAAACAGUUGAAGACUUUGAAAUAUUAACAAAAGUGAGUGUGAUGAAAAGUUUGAAAAUUGAAAUUAAACUGAACGUGAAAACGUAAUAACAGUUAAAAUAAAUUCAUCUUCAAAUAUAAAUUACUAAAUAAAAUGAAAUGAAAACAAAAACUGAAAGGUUUUACACCUUCAUGCUUCAACGAAGCCAUUUAACCAACAUUGCAAUAAAAUCAACAACAGUAACAUUAAUAACAAUAACAACAAACAGCACUAUAACAUCAAAUCAGUAGCGCAAGAUUAUUCGGCGAUAGAUGUUUUAGAUAAACUUGGUCUAGUUGUUGCUGAGUUGAACAUUGCUCAAAGCUAAAAAUCAACACGUCACCUAAAACUGUUGUUUAAAUAUUGUUGAAAACAACCAGAAAGCAGUGCCGACAUAGAG